rnacentral:rRNA from 1 species
AUACGUAGGUGGCAAGCGUUGUCCGGAAUUAUUGGGCGUAAAGCGCGCGCAGGCGGUCCUUUAAGUCUGAUGUGAAAGCCCACGGCUCAACCGAGGAGGGUCAUUGGAAACUGGAGGACUUGAGUGCAGAAGAGGAAAGUGGAAUUCCAAGUGUUGAGGUGAAACGCGUAGAGAUUUGGAGGAACACCAGUGGCGAAGGCGACUUUCUGGUCUGUAACUGACGCUGAGGCGCGAAAGCGUGGGGAGCAAACAGGAUUAGAUACCCUGGUAGUCCACGCCGUAAACGAUGAGUGCUAAGUGUUAGGGGGUUUCCGCCCCUUAGUGCUGCAGCUAACGCAUUAAGCACUCCGCCUGGGGAGUACGGUCGCAAGACUGAAACUCAAAUGAAUUGACGGGG